rnacentral:rRNA from 2 species
UUUCGCUAUCACUUAUAGAUGGACCCGCGCCGUAUUAGCUAGUUGGUAUGGUAACGGCUUACCAAGGCANCGAUACGUAGCCGACCUGAGAGGGUGAUCGGCCACACUGGAACUGAGACACGGUCCAGACUCCUACGGGAGGCAGCAGUAGGGAAUCUUCCGCAAUGGGCGAAAGCCUGACGGAGCAACGCCGCGUGAGUGAUGAAGUCUUCGGAUCGUAAAACUCUGUUAUUAGGGAAGAACAAAUGUGUAAGUAACUGUGCACUCUUGACGUACCAAUCAGAACCCGUACAAUAUGAUGUA